rnacentral:rRNA from 1 species
AUUGAACGCUGGCGGAAUGCUUUACACAUGCAAGUCGAACGGCAGCACGGGGCAACCUGGUGGCGAGUGGCGAACGGGUGAGUAAUACAUCGGAACGUGCCCAAUCGUGGGGGAUAACGUAGCGAAAGUUACGCUAAUACCGCAUACGAUCUACGGAUGAAAGCGGGGGAUCGCAAGACCUCGCGCGAAUGGAGCGGCCGAUGUCAGAUUAGGUAGUUGGUGGGGUAAAGGCUCACCAAGCCAACGAUCUGUAGCUGGUCUGAGAGGACGAUCCGCCACACUGGGACUGAGACACGGCCCAGACUCCUACGGGAGGCAGCAGUGAGGAAUUUUGGACAAUGGGCGGAAGCCUGAUCCAGCCAUGCCGCGUGAGUGAAGAAGGCCUUCGGGUUGUAAAGGCUCUUUCGGUGGGGAGAAUUGCACGGGUUAAUACCCUGUGUAGAUGACGGUACCCGACUAA